CCUUAGGUUUAAAAAUGGCAAAAAUCGCGUUAACCUUGGCCAUAUUUCAUAAAACAUUGUCACAAAAUACUUUAAUUUUUUCAUACGCACUUCCGGAGCAAAUGAGACCACGCGGUUGAAAUUCCCCUUGCAAAACCAAAACAAACGGUUAUUCGCGACGAAAUUUUGCUUCGGAAGCAUAUUUUUCCUCCUUUAUUUCGAAAGUGAACGCUUCCUAGCGACCGAAAUAC